rnacentral:pre_miRNA from 9 species
ACUCGAUUGCGUAAAAGUUAACUCAAAUUUGUAUGGAGUUAGAACAGUCUCUCGUUUGCCGCUAGGGGCGCUAUUCCAACUCCAUACAAAUUUCAGUUUACUUUUACGCGAUGGA